CAGUCGCCGCGGGAAUACGGAGGGGGCUAGCGUUGUUCGGAAUUACUGGGCGUAAAGCGCACGUAGGCGGCUUGGUAAGUUAGAGGUGAAAGCCCGGAGCUCAACUCCGGAAUUGCCUUUAAGACUGCCGAGCUAGCAGGUGAGAGAGGUAAGUGGAAUUCCGAGUGUAGAGGUGAAAUUCGUAGAUAUUCGGAAGAACACCAGUGGCGAAGGCGGCUUACUGGCUCAUACUGGACGCUGAGGUGCGAAAGCGUGGGGAGCAAACAGGAUUAGAUACCCCCGUAGUCCCUGUCUCUUAUAC
rnacentral:rRNA from 1 species